rnacentral:rRNA from 1 species
UACGUAGGGUGCAAGCGUUGUCCGGAAUUAUUGGGCGUAAAGAGCUUGUAGGCGGUUUGUCGCGUCUGCUGUGAAAUUUCGGGGCUCAACCCCGAACUGGCAGUGGGUACGGGCAGACUAGAGUGUGGUAGGGGAGACUGGAAUUCCUGGUGUAGCGGUGAAAUGCGCAGAUAUCAGGAGGAACACCGAUGGCGAAGGCAGGUCUCUGGGCCACUACUGACGCUGAGAAGCGAAAGCAUGGGGAGCGAACAGG